rnacentral:rRNA from 1 species
ACUUUUAAAUUGAAGAGUUUGAUCAUGGCUCAGAUUGAACGCUGGCGGCAGGCCUAACACAUGCAAGUCGAACGGUAACAGGAAGCAGCUUGCUGCUUUGCUGACGAGUGGCGGACGGGUGAGUAAUGUCUGGGAAACUGCCUGAUGGAGGGGGAUAACUACUGGAAACGGUAGCUAAUACCGCAUAACGUCGCAAGACCAAAGAGGGGGACCUUCGGGCCUCUUGCCAUCGGAUGUGCCCAGAUGGGAUUAGCUAGUAGGUGGGGUAACGGCUCACCUAGGCGACGAUCCCUAGCUGGUCUGAGAGGAUGACCAGCCACACUGGAACUGAGACACGGUCCAGACUCCUACGGGAGGCAGCAGUGGGGAAUAUUGCACAAUGGGCGCAAGCCUGAUGCAGCCAUGCCGCGUGUAUGAAGAAGGCCUUCGGGUUGUAAAGUACUUUCAGCGGGGAGGAAGGGAGUAAAGUUAAUACCUUUGCUCAUUGACGUUACCCGCAGAAGAAGCACCGGCUAACUCCGUGCCAGCAGCCGCGGUAAUACGGAGGGUGCAAGCGUUAAUCGGAAUUACUGGGCGUAAAGCGCACGCAGGCGGUUUGUUAAGUCAGAUGUGAAAUCCCCGGGCUCAACCUGGGAACUGCAUCUGAUACUGGCAAGCUUGAGUCUCGUAGAGGGGGGUAGAAUUCCAGGUGUAGCGGUGAAAUGCGUAGAGAUCUGGAGGAAUACCGGUGGCGAAGGCGGCCCCCUGGACGAAGACUGACGCUCAGGUGCGAAAGCGUGGGGAGCAAACAGGAUUAGAUACCCUGGUAGUCCACGCCGUAAACGAUGUCGACUUGGAGGUUGUGCCCUUGAGGCGUGGCUUCCGGAGCUAACGCGUUAAGUCGACCGCCUGGGGAGUACGGCCGCAAGGUUAAAACUCAAAUGAAUUGACGGGGGCCCGCACAAGCGGUGGAGCAUGUGGUUUAAUUCGAUGCAACGCGAAGAACCUUACCUGGUCUUGACAUCCACGGAAGUUUUCAGAGAUGAGAAUGUGCCUUCGGGAACCGUGAGACAGGUGCUGCAUGGCUGUCGUCAGCUCGUGUUGUGAAAUGUUGGGUUAAGUCCCGCAACGAGCGCAACCCUUAUCCUUUGUUGCCAGCGGUCCGGCCGGGAACUCAAAGGAGACUGCCAGUGAUAAACUGGAGGAAGGUGGGGAUGACGUCAAGUCAUCAUGGCCCUUACGACCAGGGCUACACACGUGCUACAAUGGCGCAUACAAAGAGAAGCGACCUCGCGAGAGCAAGCGGACCUCAUAAAGUGCGUCGUAGUCCGGAUUGGAGUCUGCAACUCGACUCCAUGAAGUCGGAAUCGCUAGUAAUCGUGGAUCAGAAUGCCACGGUGAAUACGUUCCCGGGCCUUGUACACACCGCCCGUCACACCAUGGGAGUGGGUUGCAAAAGAAGUAGGUAGCUUAACCUUCGGGAGGGCGCUUACCACUUUGUGAUUCAUGACUGGGGUGAAGUCGUAACAAGGUAACCGUAGGGGAACCUGCGGUUGGAUCACCUCCUUACCUUAAA